rnacentral:rRNA from 1 species
UACAGAGGGGGCAAGCGUUAUUCGGAUUCACUGGGCGUAAAGGGUGCGCAGGCGGUUGGGUGUGUCAGAUGUGAAAUCCCGAGGCUUAACCUCGGAACUGCGUCUGAAACUACUCGACUAGAGUACUGGAGAGGGUAACGGAAUUCACGGUGUAGCAGUGAAAUGCGUAGAUAUCGUGAGGAACACCAGAGGCGAAGGCGGUUACCUGGACCGACACUGACGCUGAGGCGCGAAAGCUAGGGGAGCAAACGGG